rnacentral:rRNA from 1 species
UACGUAGGGUGCGAGCGUUGUCCGGAAGUAUUGGGCGUAAAGAGCUCGUAGGCGGUGUGUCAAGUCGGCCGUGAAAACCUGCAGCUUAACUGUGGGCGUGCGGUCGAUACGGGCAUCACUGGAGUUCGGCAGGGGAGACUGGAAUUCCUGGUGUAGCGGUGAAAUGCGCAGAUAUCAGGAGGAACACCGGUGGCGAAGGCGGGUCUCUGGGCCGAUACUGACGCUGAGGAGCGAAAGCGUGGGGAGCAAACAGG